UGGGAUUUGAACCCCGGCCUUCCAGACUCUAAGUCGAUUGCCUUGUCCACAAAUGACAAGUUUGUUGUGCUGCUUAACAUCUGUGCCUGAGUUGGAAGGACCUCCAAUCAUAUAGUGUCAUGUCUUCCUGAAGCAUUAAUUCUGAAAUCUGUCCGCAACACUCCUAACAACUCGUCAAUCAGCUUGUCUUUGAACACCUCUAGUUGUGAGGAACUAACUGCUUUAUGAGCCAAAAAGGAUGUCUAAACUUUUCUUGCACAUGAAAACUCUUCAAAUAGUUGAAGAUGAUUAUUAUGCCGAGCCUAAGACUCCUUGAAGUGAAA